AUGAACGCUAGCGACAGGCUUAACACAUGCAAGUCGAGGGGCAGCGGGGGAUAAGCUUGCUUUUCCUGCCGGCGACCGGCGCACGGGUGAGUAACACGUAUGCAACCUGCCUCUGUCAGAGGGAUAAUCCGGAGAAAUCCGGUCUAAUAUCGCAUAAAGCGUUUGCGGGGCAUCCUGCGAGCGCCAAAGGAGUAAUCCGGACAGGGAUGGGCAUGCGGCGCAUUAGCUAGUUGGGGGGGUAACGGCCCACCAAGGCGACGAUGCGUAGGGGUUCUGAGAGGAAGGUCCCCCACAUUGGUACUGAGACACGGACCAAACUCCUACGGGAGGCAGCAGUGAGGAAUAUUGGUCAAUGGGCGGAAGCCUGAACCAGCCAAGUCGCGUGAGGGAAGACGGCCCUAAGGGUUGUAAACCUCUUUUGCCGGGGAGCAAAAGCGCCGUGCGCGGUGCUAUGAGAGUACCCGGAGAAAAAGCAUCGGCUAACUCCGUGCCAGCAGCCGCGGUAAUACGGAGGAUGCGAGCGUUAUCCGGAUUUAUUGGGUUUAAAGGGUGCGUAGGCGGACAGUUAAGUCAGCGGUCAAAACGGGCGGCUCAACCGCCUGCCGCCGUUGAAACUGGCAGUCUAGAGUGGGCGAGAAGUACGCGGAAUGCGCGGUGUAGCGGUGAAAUGCAUAGAUAUUGCGCAGAACUCCGAUUGCGAAGGCAGCGUACCGGCGCCCGACUGACGCUGAGGCACGAAAGCGUGGGGAUCGAACAGGAUUAGAUACCCUGGUAGUCCACGCAGUAAACGAUGGACACUAUCUGUUCGGGUCGAGAGAGAUCUGAGUGGCACAGCGAAAGCGUUAAGUGUCCCACCUGGGGAGUACGCCGGCAACGGUGAAACUCAAAGGAAUUGACGGGGGCCCGCACAAGCGGUGGAGUAUGUGGUUUAAUUCGACGCAACGCGAAGAACCUUACCAAGUCUUGACAUCCUGCGACGGUGCUGGAAACAGUACUUUCCUUCGGGACGCAGAGACAGGUGGUGCAUGGUUGUCGUCAGCUCGUGUCGUGAGAUGUUGGGUUAAGUCCCGCAACGAGCGCAACCCCUGUUCUUAGUUGCCAGCAUGUAAGGAUGGGAACUCUAAGAAGACUGCCGUAGACAAUACGGAGGAAGGUGGGGAUGACGUCAAAUCAUCAUGCCCUUUAUGUCCUGGGCUACACACGUACUACAAUGGCUAUAACAAAGAGAAGCGAGACCGCGAGGUGGAGCAAAACUCAGAAACAACGUCCCAGUUCGGACUGCAGGCUGCAACUCGCCUGCAUGAAGUCGGAGUUGCUAGUAAUCGCGGAUCAGCAUGCCGCGGUGAAUACGUUCCCGGGCCUUGUACACACCGCCCGUCACACCAUGAGAGUUGGGAAUACCCGAAGCCUGUGAGCCAACUGUAAAGAGGCAGCAGUCGAAGGUAGAAUCAAUGAUUGGGGUG
rnacentral:rRNA from 1 species